AUUGGUGCUUGCAUCAUGAUUUACAUUUGAGUGAGUGGCGAACUGGUGAGUAACACGUGGGAAACCUGCCCAGAAGCGGGGGAUAACACCUGGAAACAGAUGCUAAUACCGCAUAACAACUUGGACCGCAUGGUCCGAGCUUUGAAAGAUGGCUUCGGCUAUCACUUUUGGAUGGUCCCGCGGCGUAUUAGCUAGAUGGUGGAGGUAACGGCUCACCAUGGCAAUGAUACGUAGCCGACCUGAGAGGGUAAUCGGCCACAUUGGGACUGAGACACGGCCCAAACUCCUACGGGAGGCAGCAGUAGGGAAUCUUCCACAAUGGACGAAAGUCUGAUGGAGCAACGCCGCGUGAGUGAAGAAGGGUUUCGGCUCGUAAAACUCUGUUGUUAAAGAAGAACAUAUCUGAGAGUAACUGUUCAGGUAUUGACGGUAUUUAACCAGAAAGCCACGGCUAACUACGUGCCAGCAGCCGCGGUAAUACGUAGGUGGCAAGCGUUGUCCGGAUUUAUUGGGCGUAAAGCGAGCGCAGGCGGUUUUUUAAGUCUGAUGUGAAAGCCUUCGGCUCAACCGAAGAAGUGCAUCGGAAACUGGGAAACUUGAGUGCAGAAGAGGACAGUGGAACUCCAUGUGUAGCGGUGAAAUGCGUAGAUAUAUGGAAGAACACCAGUGGCGAAGGCGGCUGUCUGGUCUGUAACUGACGCUGAGGCUCGAAAGUAUGGGUAGCAAACAGGAUUAGAUACCCUGGUAGUCCAUACCGUAAACGAUGAAUGCUAAGUGUUGGAGGGUUUCCGCCCUUCAGUGCUGCAGCUAACGCAUUAAGCAUUCCGCCUGGGGAGUACGGCCGCAAGGCUGAAACUCAAAGGAAUUGACGGGGGCCCGCACAAGCGGUGGAGCAUGUGGUUUAAUUCGAAGCUACGCGAAGAACCUUACCAGGUCUUGACAUACUAUGCAAAUCUAAGAGAUUAGACGUUCCCUUCGGGGACAUGGAUACAGGUGGUGCAUGGUUGUCGUCAGCUCGUGUCGUGAGAUGUUGGGUUAAGUCCCGCAACGAGCGCAACCCUUAUUAUCAGUUGCCAGCAUUAAGUUGGGCACUCUGGUGAGACUGCCGGUGACAAACCGGAGGAAGGUGGGGAUGACGUCAAAUCAUCAUGCCCCUUAUGACCUGGGCUACACACGUGCUACAAUGGAUGGUACAACGAGUUGCGAACUCGCGAGAGUAAGCUAAUCUCUUAAAGCCAUUCUCAGUUCGGAUUGUAGGCUGCAACUCGCCUACAUGAAGUCGGAAUCGCUAGUAAUCGCGGAUCAGCAUGCCGCGGUGAAUACGUUCCCGGGCCUUGUACACACCGCCCGUCAC
rnacentral:rRNA from 2 species